rnacentral:pre_miRNA from 1 species
GAGAGAGAGGGAGAGAGAGAGAGAUGUAGAGAGUUUGAGAAGGAGAUGAUCCAAUUAUCAUGUAAAAUAACAUGGAAUUGGAUCAUCUCCUUCCCAAAUUCUCUACAUCUCUCUCCUUCCUCUCUAUCUC